AUGAACGCUGGCGGCGUGCCUAAUACCUGCAAGUCGAGCGAACAGAUGAGGAGCUUGCUCCUCUGACGUUAGCGGCGGACGGGUGAGUAACACGUGGAUAACCUACCUAUAAGACUGGGAUAACUUCGGGAAACCGGAGCUAAUACCGGAUAAUAUAUUUAACCGCAUGGUUCAAUAGUGAAAGACGGUUUUGCUGUCACUUAUAGAUGGAUCCGCGCCGCAUUAGCUAGUUGGUAAGGUAACGGCUUACCAAGGCAACGAUGCGUAGCCGACCUGAGAGGGUGAUCGGCCACACUGGAACUGAGACACGGUCCAGACUCCUACGGGAGGCAGCAGUAGGGAAUCUUCCGCAAUGGGCGAAAGCCUGACGGAGCAACGCCGCGUGAGUGAUGAAGGUCCUCGGAUCGUAAAACUCUGUUAUUAGGGAAGAACAAAUGUGUAAGUAACUAUGCACAUCUUGACGGUACCUAAUCAGAAAGCCACGGCUAACUACGUG
rnacentral:rRNA from 1 species